rnacentral:lncRNA from 1 species
UAGAAUGCUAUGCCUUUUGUGUCACAAAUUUAGCGCUAUGUUAAGCAAUCGUAAUUGGACUUAUGUAGAAGUUACAACUAUUUGAGGCCGGGAAAUAGAAUUUUGGUGUUAAUGCAUGUUAGAGACAUAGUAUAAUGGACUAUACUCCUAAAACAUACCACACACAAAAAGAAUAUGCAAAGUGGUGGACCUAAUCUCAUCCAUACUCAUGUUGAUUUUGCAAUCAACUAGCCUUAGGAUAUUGAGAUAUCAUAGGUCCAUGACAUGAAUGAAUAAAGAAGGGGAAUGAGAUGAAGAGGGAGGGGGAAUGGAA